rnacentral:rRNA from 1 species
UACGGGGGGGACGAGCGUUGUUCGGAUUUACUGGGCGUAAAGGGCGCGUAGGCGGACUGUCAAGUCGGAAGUGAAAACCGGAGGCUUAACCUCAGGCUUGCUUUCGAUACUGUCAGUCUUGAGUACAGGAGAGGAAAGCGGAAUUCCAGGUGUAGCGGUGAAAUGCGUAGAUAUCUGGAAGAACACCAGUAGCGAAGGCGGCUUUCUGGUCUGAUACUGACGCUAAAGCGCGAAGGCUAGGGGAGCAAACAGG